GACGAACGCUGGCGGCGUGCUUAACACAUGCAAGUCGAACGAUGAAGCCUUCGGGUGGAUUAGUGGCGAACGGGUGAGUAACACGUGGGCAAUCUGCCCUGUACUUUGGGAUAAGCCUUGGAAACGGGGUCUAAUACCGGAUAUCACUUCUGACCGCAUGGUUGGUUGUUGAAAGUUCUGGCGGUACAGGAUGAGCCCGCGGCCUAUCAGCUUGUUGGUGGGGUAAUGGCCUACCAAGGCGACGACGGGUAGCCGGCCUGAGAGGGUGACCGGCCACACUGGGACUGAGACACGGCCCAGACUCCUACGGGAGGCAGCAGUGGGGAAUAUUGCACAAUGGGCGAAAGCCUGAUGCAGCGACGCCGCGUGAGGGAUGACGGCCUC
rnacentral:rRNA from 1 species